rnacentral:lncRNA from 1 species
UAGAUUCAUUAUCAUUCACCUUAAUUGGAGGCUAUGAUCUAGUUAUCCCCAUAACUAGCUCAUUUUAUGGACCUAAUAAUUUAGAGAAUUUGAUUAAGUCUUUUAGAAGAUAUUAGUCGAUCUACAAAUCAUAAAUCCUCCCACUGACUUCAUCAAGUCAUGAAAAAGACUAGUGACUAGCAGGUCUAACCAACAUGUCGUAAAUCCUCUCAAUGACUUCACCAAUCCAUG